rnacentral:rRNA from 1 species
CUACGGGAGGCAGCAGUGGGGAAUAUUGCACAAUGGGCGCAAGCCUGAUGCAGCGACGCCGCGUGAGGGAUGACGGCCUUCGGGUUGUAAACCUCUUUCAGUAGGGAAGAAGCGAAAGUGACGGUACCUGCAGAAGAAGCACCGGCUAACUACGUGCCAGCAGCCGCGGUAAUACGUAGGGUGCGAGCGUUAUCCGGAAUUAUUGGGCGUAAAGAGCUCGUAGGCGGUUUGUCGCGUCUGUCGUGAAAGUCCGGGGCUUAACCCCGGAUCUGCGGUGGGUACGGGCAGACUAGAGUGCAGUAGGGGAGACUGGAAUUCCUGGUGUAGCGGUGGAAUGCGCAGAUAUCAGGAGGAACACCGAUGGCGAAGGCAGGUCUCUGGGCUGUAACUGACGCUGAGGAGCGAAAGCAUGGGGAGCGAACAGGAUUAGAUACCCUGGUAGUCCAUGCCGUAAACGUUGGGCACUAGGUGUGGGGACCAUUCCACGGUUUCCGCGCCGCAGCUAACGCAUUAAGUGCCCCGCCUGGGGAGUACGGCCGCAAGGCUAAAACUCAGAGGAAUUGACGGGGGCCCGCACAAGCGGCGGAGCAUGCGGAUUAAUUCGAUGCAACGCGAAGAACCUUACCAAGGCUUGACAUGUUCUCGAUCGCCGUAGAGAUACGGUUUCCCCUUUGGGGCGGGUUCACAGGUGGUGCAUGGUUGUCGUCAGCUCGUGUCGUGAGAUGUUGGGUUAAGUCCCGCAACGAGCGCAACCCUCGUUCCAUGUUGCCAGCACGUAAUGGUGGGGACUCAUGGGAGACUGCCGGGGUCAACUCGGAGGAAGGUGAGGACGACGUCAAAUCAUCAUGCCCCUUAUGUCUUGGGCUUCACGCAUGCUACAAUGGCC